UAAGGAAUAUUGCUCAAUGGGAGAAAUCCUGAAGCAGCAACGCCGCGUGGAGGAUGAAGGGUCUAUGACUUGUAAACUCCUGUAAAGAAGGAAAAAAUUCCCAUUAGAUGGGAGAUGAUGGUACUUCUGGAGUAAGCCCCGGCUAACUACGUGCCAGCAGCCGCGGUAAUACGUAGGGGGCAAGCGUUGUCCGGAUUUACUGGGCGUAAAGGGCGCGUAGGCGGCGCGGUAAGUCACUUGUGAAAUCUCUGAGCUUAACUCAGAACGGCCAAGUGAUACUGCUGUGCUAGAUUGCGGAAGAGGCAACCGGAAUUCUUGGUGUAGCGGUGAAAUGCGUAGAUAUCAAGAGGAACACCUGAGGCGAAGGCGGGUUGCUGGGCCGACACUGACGCUGAUGCGCGAAAGCCAGGGGAGCAAACG
rnacentral:rRNA from 1 species